CUUUUUGGGACACCUACCUUCCUAUGGCCAUGCCCUGCAGGACUUUGUGACCUUGCAAUGAUGGACCUACAAUUCCAUGAUUCAUUGAGAGGAAUCAUGUCAUGCCAAGACGUGAACCAUCUGAUGCAGAGAGUUGAUUUAGAGCAUUCUGUGAACCCACUUCUGAACCCAAAACAAGGCCCCAGCUACAGCGUACUUGACAAUUGCCCAGUUUUGCUUCCCAUGCUGUUACAUUUGAGACUUGGCCUUUUGAGAACCAGUGGAGCACUGCUACCUCGCCAGCUCAUCGUUCCUGAUUGCAUAAGUGAUGGCAAACCACUCGCCUGGUGCUGGCUUGGAGGCAAAGAUACAUCAAGUGAGUAUGUGGGGUCAUUGUUAAACAGACACAAACCUCACCAAAAGCACAUUUAUUUCAGGAGGAAGGUGAUUUUUCAAUGAUUUCAGUGUACUUUGGAUUAAUCCCUAAGAUGCUUGCCUUGUGUAAUAUAUUAGGGGAAAAUCUUCAGAGUCAUGGUGUAAGGGUGUACCAAAAGCUGGGACAGAAUCUUUUGAAGGUAAUAAAUUGUUUAUGGCCAAUAGUAGCACUACAUUGUUGCCUAAAUAAAGAUAAAGAAACAAAUGUUUCAUCCCUUACAGGAGUACAUCCCCAUUGUUUUUUUACUGUAAGAAUGUGGCCUGUAUAUUUAGAAAAUAAUAUUAAGAAUGUUAUAGGAGUGAUCUUCAAACAAUUUGUUUCUAGAGUACAUUUAAUUUAAGGAUCCCUUAGUUUUGUAGUUAAUUGUUAAUGGUAUUUCCUAAAUUAUAAGCCACUGUGAAUAGCUUCUCUUACUUCUGUUCCAAAAAUAAGUGCAAAAUAAGCCAGCAGCUUUGCAGUCAUAAAACCUAGGGACCUAAUUCUGAAGUAGCUCCAGCUGUGAAGUCUAGGAAAUCAGCCAGGCUGGUUUCAGCUCCUGUUAGAUUAUAAAUUUGACCUACCAAUAAAAGGAAUGGACACUUCGUUUAUCUUCCCAGAGGGUACUGAUAUACAUCUUAAAUGUGUCUGAUUGAAUCAAUAUACUGUCAAGGUGAAUGCCUUAGCAGUAGCACUGCAAUGCUGAUAAUCCACCAGCAGAUAAUGACAUUCUUAGAACAAUUCUAAGAGUGACACUUGAAUACAAACAUAUGGCAAAAGUUUUUAAAUUAGAUAAUAUUUUUGAACAGGUGGCUGGCAUAUCUUUCUUCAGUCCAGAAUGAGGUAAUGCCUCCUAUUCACUAGGCAUUGAGGAGAAAAUGAAUCUCCUACAAGGUAUUUUUUUCAGUCGUAGUUUAUAAGAGUAGUAUGAAGCUCUAUGAUUGUUUCUGAUACAUUACUUGUUUGCUUGGAUUUGGGGAAUGUGGGUUUCCUUUUUCUACUUGUUUGUUGUAGUUAUAGUAGGAAAUACUUCAGUCAUAAGAUUGUUAUUUCUUGGUACAUCUGGACAAUAUAUUAUUGGAUUCAAAAGCUAAGUUAAAAACAAAAAAAAAAGUUCAAGUGAAACAGAUUUUUUUUGCUUUUUUCUAAAAAAAAAAAAAAAAAAAAGCUUGUCUUAAUGCAAAAUAUUUUCUUUACAAUUAUUUUGCCCUCUAAAAUAUUUUUAAAUGAGAACCUUGUUUUCGAAUUAUAAACUGAAUGUUUUUAUUUGAGAGAGCAUUGAAAUAAGCCCUAAUUACUGGGGCUCAUUUUGUUUUGGUUUGUUAAUAUAUUUUUACCUUUAAAGCUACUUUACAGAUUCACAGAUUCGGAAAAUACUUAUAAUUUCUCUGAAAAUGUUGAUGUGAAUUUAGUAGUUGCAUAAAUGCCUUUCUUAAUGUAUUUUCCUUACAUUUCCAGCAUAAUUGCAGAUGCAUCUGGUGGUGAGUUUCUGUCUACGUACAUGUAAGACUCGCAAAUGGCAUGUUUUCUAGUCUGAUGCAAGGAACCAUCAUGAAUAUUGUCCUGAGUAUCAAAAUCAAUCAGGUAUCAGAUUAAAGUUAUUUUCUCUUUGUUUUGUAAUUUAUACUAUAUGCGUAAAUUCUACUUUCUGUUUUAUCUCCGCCUUUUAAUUUUAAUUUGCACAAAUAACCCUCACAGAAUUCAGCCUUACAUAUCUGUGAAACUAGCUGAAUUUUUGAACCUGAUUUUACUUCAUAUAUUUCUUCUGUUUUUGUAACCUUGUUGGUUUGCUGUGGUUUUUUGUUUGUUUAAUAUUCUAAACCUAGACGAUGUCAGGGAGCUUUUGUACUGAUGGAAUUUCAAAAUACUGCCUUAUUUAUUUGAAAUUAUUGGUAAUUCAAGGAAACAACUUACCUAUGUGUAAGAUUGUAUUUCUCUCUUCUCCAUUUUCUAAUAAAACUAUUAGUUCAGUAAAAAAAUAAGCAAUUAGAAUGUUUCUGGUUUGCAUUGGUUUAGCUUUAUAUUCUAAUCUAAACAUAAUCUCUGUAUACAUGUCUCUUUACUGUCAAAAUUUUUUUAAAAAUAGGUAAUUUAAAUAUUUAAAUUAAGAUACUUCUAAGGACUAACUGUCAAAGGAUUUAAAGUUUUCUCGUAACUCAGAAAUACAUUCCUAAGUGUGUUUUUUAUAUAUUUGUAAAUAUAUAUAAUUGCGAUACAGACCUUUUUAUAGAGUGAGUUCUUAAGCAUACUAUGAAACAACAUUCUUUUUAUUGAUUUUUUUUUAAUGCACAUAGCUGUGUAUGGACAUGAAGUAUUUUAUAUGAUUCUCAUAGGCAUCCUGAUUAAGACAGAGAUUACACUUUUAUUGUAUAGAAACAUUUUGGGUUUUGUAUAAAAACUGCUUGGUUGGGCAGAAACUAACACAUCUAAAUGCGAAAUUGUGCUGUGAACUCGAGAAUUAAAGAAGCUGCUUAUCCUCCCAACGUGCGUCUCUUGGUUGACUGAUUUCUGCUUUUAAAAAUAAACAACUUCAAAAUGAGGCUUUUCUUGUGACUGAUACAUUCAUCAGCUUUCCAUCUUGUGUGGCUUGUAUGGGAUUCUCCAGUGGCUUAUUAGGAGUGAUUACUUACUGUAACCUUUCCCUUGACUGAUCUUACAAGGUCUUUCUUCCUCUUCUCUCUGGCUGCCUAUUUUUGCAAAACUUGUAGGAGCAUAAUUAUUGUUGGAAACUCUCAGCCUGUGUCAAAUCUGGUUGAACCAGUUGGUCAGUUUUCAAAAGUCCUUGCAGAGUAGGAGACACUCAGAAACAGGCAGACAUCGUGACAGCAAAAGCUUUCUUGCAUUGGAAGUCAGUAAAAUCAACAAUAACCACAAACUUGCUAAAUUCCUGUAAAUUCUAUAAAACUAUGUCACCAGCACUCCAGUUAUCAGGCUGAAAAAUGCACUGAGGAGCUUUUUUGUUCCAACAGCUUUCACUAGUGUGGCUCUUAUUAGGACCCCCUGCCUCCUUGUCAUGCUAACGUCUCCUUAUUAUGCUUGAGAAACCCAGUAUAUUCUCAAACCACUGUUUCACAGAAUUCUACAUUGACAUUUCUUCCCACCCCCACUUCAUUUUCUUUCAUGAGUUUGCCACUGUGGCAAGUGGCUCUGGGGGUUUGGACACUUCAGGAAUGGGGCUUGUGAGGUGAACAAAAUCAUAAGCAUUUUCUGUUCAGCCUUCCUGGCGAUAAAGACUAUUUAUUUAUUUAUUUAUUUAUUUAUUCAUAUAAUGCAGCUUUGAAAUUCAACGGCAGGUAUUUUACCUUGAGGCUCAGAAGAUUCUGGAGACUAAGGACUUAAGAGAUUCUUCAAAUGGUUUCUCCGGUGUGCUCUGGAGCUGUAGUGUAAGGUAAUGCUAACUUGCAAAAAUCAUAAGUAACAUGUUAGCAGGCCAACAGCUCUCAAUGCAGGUUUCAGUGAUGUUCCAUCAACCUUCAUUUAAUGUUUGUGGUUCUGUGGCCAGAAUAUUUGGUCAGGGUAUUAAUUCACAGGAUUUCUGGGGAACAGCGUGGUGGGUGGGCUGUAGAAGGUAGACAGAACUAGUUAUUAAUUGGCUUUACCCUUCUGCAGGCAGCCCUAUCCUUGAGGGACCUAGCUCUUAGUGAGCAAGCAGAAAAGAAAGUACUGAUUUAUGAAAAUUAGUCCAGCAAGAUAGGCACUGAUGUGUAUUAUUCAACAGAAUUGCCCCUCCCUAGAGCUUUGCAUGACAGACACAUUUAGGAAUGAGAGAGGGCAGCCCUGCUAUGGGGUGGCAGAACCUCACUGGAGCUUCUUUGCUUCUAAAAUUCCACUUCUUAUCCUAUGUUUAGAGUUUGCUGAGGCAGAAAUACCACUGCAAUGACAACCAGGCAAGCUGAGUACUUCAGUAGUGAGUAUUAACACCUUGUUAAUAGUGUCAGUACUCAAUACUCAGGCUAAUAGUUUUCUAACUGGUUUGCUUGCAACAAUAUAUUUUUUUAAUUACUUACAAUAAUAAUAAGAAGAGACUUAUUAGGGUUUGCACUGUAGUCCAUUUUUUCUUGAUCAUAAUGCGAACUACAGGAUUUGUAUUUCAUAGAGGACCUACAAAAUAGCUGUAAACACAGUUC
rnacentral:lncRNA from 1 species